AUAGCGUAUAUUAAAGUUGUUGCAGUUAAAAAGCUCGUAGUUGAAUAUCUGGCCGGUGCUGUUCUUGGCUCCCCGAGUCGGUUCAGCGCCUGGUUAUCCGUAUGGGAAACCAGCUCGACCUUCACUGUGUCGGCUGGCGGAUCAUACACUUUACUUUGAAAAAAUUAGAGUGUUUCAGGCAGGCAAUUGCUUGGAUACUGUAGCAUGGAAUAAUGGAAUAGGACUUUGACCUAUUUGUUGGUUUCUCGAGGUCAAAGUAAUGAUUAAUAGGGACAGUUGGGGGCAUUCGUAUUUAAUUGUCAGAGGUGAAAUUCUUGGAUUUUUUAAAGACGAACUUAUG
rnacentral:rRNA from 1 species